UCCAGACUCCUACGGGAGGCAGCAGUGGGGAAUAUUGCACAAUGGGGGGAACCCUGAUGCAGCGACGCCGCGUGAGUGAAGAAGUAUUUCGGUAUGUAAAGCUCUAUCAGCAGGGAAGAAAAUGACGGUACCUGACUAAGAAGCCCCGGCUAACUACGUGCCAGCAGCCGCGGUAAUACGUAGGGGGCAAGCGUUAUCCGGAUUUACUGGGUGUAAAGGGAGCGUAGACGGCAUGGCAAGUCAGAUGUGAAAGCCCGGGGCUCAACCCCGGGACUGCAUUUGAAACUGUCAGGCUGGAGUGCAGGAGAGGUAAGUGGAAUUCCUAGUGUAGCGGUGAAAUGCGUAGAUAUUAGGAGGAACACCAGUGGCGAAGGCGGCUUACCGGACUGUAACUGACGUUGAGGCUCGAAAGCGUGGGGAGCAAACAGGAUUAGAUACCCUCGUAGC
rnacentral:rRNA from 1 species